UGAACGCUGGCGGCGUGCUUAACACAUGCAAGUCGAACGAUGACCUCCAGCUUGCUGGGGUGAUUAGUGGCGAACGGGUGAGUAACACGUGAGUAACCUGCCCUUGACUCUGGGAUAAGCCUGGGAAACUGGGUCUAAUACCGGAUAUGACUCCUCAUCGCAUGGUGGGGGGUGGAAAGCUUUUUGUGGUUUUGGAUGGACUCGCGGCCUAUCAGCUUGUUGGUGAGGUAAUGGCUUACCAAGGCGACGACGGGUAGCCGGCCUGAGAGGGUGACCGGCCACACUGGGACUGAGACACGGCCCAGACUCCUACGGGAGGCAGCAGUGGGGAAUAUUGCACAAUGGGCGCAAGCCUGAUGCAGCGACGCCGCGUGAGGGAUGACGGCCUUCGGGUUGUAAACCUCUUUCAGUAGGGAAGAAGCGAAAGUGACGGUACCUGCAGAAGAAGCGCCGGCUAACUACGU
rnacentral:rRNA from 1 species